ensembl:lncRNA
AGGAGUGAGAGGGGGAUUAGAAUCAAAGAAUAGGGUGAGAGAAGACAGUUGUUGACAGUUGAGCCAGUAGAACCUGAGGAAGGGGGAGGGGAUUAAACGGGGGAGGGAGAGUUGGGAGAGGAGUAAGGAAGAGAGGUGAAAAAGGGACUGUUUAGCACACGAUGGGGAACUGAGAAAAGUAAGAGGAAUCAGGGGAGGAGAAAGAGAAGAAGCGAGGAGAGAGUCGUCGUGGCAGAAGAAGAAGCUGGAGACUUGGAAUAUAAAAGAGGACCAGUAGAGGACUGACUGCAGCAUAACUAUGGCCUACAAGAAUCUGGACACAAUACAGAGAUGGAUUCCCCUGGAAUAUAGUUCUGGAGUAUGAGAUGAUACUGUCAAAAGUGGACAUCACCAGGAAGAAGCUCAUAAACAUUAGAAUGCUCAGGAGGGCUCUUUGCUCUGGAGUUGCUUUUGGAGAAAGUUUUGGAUUCUGCAGUCACUGGGACUGAGUCUUAUGCCUGCACAAGAGAGUCACCAUGUAGUAAGUUGAGAGGUCCAUGAGACCAAUAAGAAAUACAUUCCUGAAAGCCAGCAGUGUGGAGAAGGUACACUGCAUUGAGGAACUCAUGGGUAGAAAAGAGCAAGAUUUCAUGAUGUAUAUAAGAUUAACCAGGUAAGAUUUCGUGUGGCAAUAGGUGCUAUUAAAAUAUGGCUGCUGAUGGAUGUAUAGAAGAUGCUCAAUAAAAUAAAGAAAGAUGAGAGCUGAUGUGGGGAAUUGGGUUUGAACUUUGCUAAGUGAGAGGUUUGAGGGCAGAGGAUGAUUGCCUGGAAGACACUCAACAGACAGGUGGUACAAACAGAGAGGCUCCUGAAAAACCUGUGCAAGAAAAUAAAUAGUUUACACGUAAUGUCAUCCCAUCCUCCUGAAGACAUAAAAAAGUCUUCAGUUAUAUAUGCUGCAACUAACAGCAUCACUAUGUGUAUAAGGGCCACAAGGCCAAUGGGCAAUUCAGUGAGUUUAGGCCUGUGCUCAUGAAUGAAGAUGAAGGUGUGGAAGAGAAGAAGGCACCUGUUGGCUGAGAUCCUGAUGCCUAUCUCAGAGAAGAAAGCAUUUCUGAUGUAAGUUCUACAGUACAGUUAUUGUCUUUAUUCAUAUUAUGCUGUGUAGAAGCACAUAGUAGCUGCCUGAAAACAAAGCAAAAACUCCUUUGUUACAUAUUGUCUUCUACAUCCUGAAUGUGCAGAGAUGCAUCCCAGUUUAUCCACUACCAUCUAGAAAUUCAGCUCUCUCUCACACCAUCCAGAAUCCUUCCCUACUCUCACACAUUUUUUAACCCUCCCCAACAGUGGAUAGCUUAAGUGUUCCAUUUUGAACCUAUAUUGGGGUGUAAGUUUUACUCUAAAAUAAAAUUCCAUACACUAUAGAAAAUAUUUUUCCUAUUACUUCUUAUAUCCAUUCCAGUUGGUGAUGUGUGACAUGGUUUGACUUGUAUCAUCUUUGUUGUCAAUCAUGUGUUUAGAUUUGUGUUUUCAGUGAACCUGAAGGGGGACGAUGUCCAAAAAUGCAAUGAGGCUUUUCCCAAAAAAGAGUGCCCAUGAUUUGACACUCACAGAGUUAUUUCAUUUAGUCAUUCCCUUUACCUUUCCAUUUUUGACAGAC